UAAUCCGUAUGUUUCCCCUUCAUCUUUGUUUUUUUCCUUGCAAUUUUGUUUAUGAAAUGAGGUUGUUUCACAUGUAGCAUUUGCUACGAUUUAAGUUUUGCUAAUUACAUCCCUAUGGUAAUGUUUGCUUUCCUCUAUCCUCUGUUUCUUUAACUUGCUAGUUAUGUCUAGAGACUUGAUGAGAUUGAAACAUGGCUUUUGGCAUGAAUGUUUCAUAGGUUAUGUUGUGUUCAUUUAGUAGGUGGUGCAUAAUCUGUGGUUUUCUCUCUUUUGUGGUAUUAGCAGCUGCUGCAGAUAAAUGCAUUAAUUCAUGAUGCUUCUGAUAUAAUGAAUCAUCUUUGUAGAGUUACUAAUCAUUAGCAAAGGAGGAAAUGCUAUGUAAUAGAAAUAUUAUUCAAUACCAAAAUAUUUUCUUAAAUAGUCAUAGAACUAACAGGAAAAAAUAGAUAGCAAAAAAAUGUGUUGGCUGUUCUCACUGUUUAUCUUCCUGACUUCUUUUGAUGAUGGAAGGCAGUUUUGUGGAAAUUGCCAGCCAGGACUUUGACAUGAAACAGACCCAGGGCUAAAUUUUGGCUCUGUGGUGUUGGUUAAGUGGCCUUGAAUAAAUUAGUUAUUAAGCCUCAGUUUUCUAGCUUUUAACUGAUUAUAGCAAUGCACACACAUACCUGACACACUGUUAAAUUUUCUUCUCUUCCUGUUUCUUGCGUUAAGAAAAAAUACUCUGUGUUUUGGCAUAUUUUAGUGAAUUUGUACCAUUUUUAUUCUCAGUCCUUUUAUAAUAAUUGGAGUAUUUUAAUCUUAUUCAUGUGCAGACAAAAGAGCUUUAUGAAGUUCAGGGUGAAGUAGUCAAGGGAAUCUGUUUAUUCCCUCUUCCCUCUACUGAAUAAUUUUCCCUCUAAGAAUUGCUGUGGGUAAUACCAUGAGUGGAGACAUUGCCCACAUGCAUAACAGCAUAUCUCUCCAUUUGAUCAAUUUGUCACCAUCUUUGCUCUGCUUUGAAAGUCAGGCUUCUCUGUGACUGUGAAGCCUGCUGUUCCCUGAAAAUCUGAUAAUGGAGCAGUGGAGGUUUCUUUCUUUCUGUGCUCUGUAGAUCAAAUUGUUUGCACUUGGAAUUUCCCAGAGUUGAAAGGAAAGAUUGAACUGGAAUAUUGUGUAAACUGUCUGUCUUACAUUAGUGUAGCAUUUUGCAAUUUGGGGAACAUCUUCACAACUUGUGUCUCGUUGUUCAGAACAACGUUGUGAAGUAGUUUUGGCAAUGUCUGUGUUUCAUGUAAUUUAGCCAACUCCCAUUCCAACUAGGCUUUGGCUAAAUCUGACAAUUCUAUAUAUAGCUUAAAACAAAGAAGACACAUUCUCUUUACCCCUCCCAGUCUACCCGUCCAGCCUUCAUGAUUCAUUCCUGUGUCAAGGUUAGUCGCUGUUUUCCAUUUGAAUUGGUUUCUUUUAUGGUCAGUUUACUUUCUUCCCUCUCCCUUCCCUUUCCUGCACAUUCCCAUCCUUGCCACGCCUUUCUGUCCUCUUUUUUAAUGGAUAUAUCUUUUUCCUGCCAUUAUCCCUCAGACAUUCUCCUCAUGGCACAUUUUCUUCGAAUGCUAACAUUUACUGAGUGUACAUUGGAGUUCUGUGCAUACAGGAAGAAGUUAUUUUCUGAGCUUAGAUAAUACUAUGUGUAUAUGUGAUUAAAAUGAUGAAGAUUAUUUUCUAUACCCUUCAAAUUAGAAGUGGAUUUCUGUUUCAUUACUUCCAAUUUAAAAAGUUUUUGCCAGAGAGUUUUGCCAAUACUCUCUUAUUUGCUCUAGUGUACUAGUCCAGUAGUGUUUGCAUGUGGAUGUCUGUGGAUGACAGUUAUUGUAGCACUUUGGCAGUGCACUAAAAAUUUGCCACUAUGAAAUAUUUCUGUAUUGCGUGUGUGUGUGUUGAAAUACGCACACAGCUCCCCCCACCCCAUAUAUAUUAAAAGUGGUUGUAUUCAUUUAGUGAAAAACAAAAAGUAGAUGUACUUUUGUAAAUCAGAUAAAUGCUUGGAAUUUGAUUGUGUCUACCCAUUCAACAGUUUUCCCUCUUUGCUCUGGAAAUAUUUGUACUCAUAUAGCAUAUUUCAAAAAUGUCGUUGUUCAUUAAGGCCUCUUAAAUAGACCACUAUUUUUUGUGUCUGGCAGAUGAGUAUGUCAAGGAUUGAGAUAAACACAUAAGUCUUGGAAAUUAAAUAAAUUUAUAAACAUAAAGAUAA